rnacentral:rRNA from 1 species
AUGGGUCGGCCGAGCGGACGGAUUUGCCUAUUUUUUCAUUUGGGUCAUCCAGUGCACCCAACGGUAGCUGACACAUUUUGUGACGCGUCUGCCCUGACAUUUUGUCAAACACGUAGCAGGCAGGGGAGCUCGCGGCAGCUUGGCGUGGCGAGGCGAGGCUGGGAUGGGCGUGUGAGUAGUGAGGCGGCCAGGCACGAGGAGGCGAGGCGACCGGGCGCACGAGGCUGCUGGGCACGGCGAGGCGAGGCCGGGCCGGACGCGCGAGCACCUAGCAGGCGUGGCCGCCGCCUGCGUCGACCAGGAGCACACACCCGCGGAGAAAUGCCGUGGCCUGGCGCUGCCCGUCGCGGAGCUCGCGAGGGACUCCUUUGUCAUGGGCGGACGCUGCCUGUCACGACGCUCGUGAGGUCCAGCUUGGGAUGCAUGGAGUCCAGAGCGCGGCAGAACUGCACGGCGGCUGUCGAGGUGGGCGAGCACGGCGGUGGCAGCUGCAGCAGCUGCUGCUGCUCAUAA